GAUGAACGCUGGCGGCGUGCCUAAUACAUGCAAGUCGAGCGAACAGACGAGGAGCUUGCUCCUCUGACGUUAGCGGCGGACGGGUGAGUAAAACGUGGAUAACCUACCUAUAAGACUGGGAUAACUUCGGGAAACCGGAGCUAAUACCGGAUAAUAUAUUGAACCGCAUGGUUCAAUAGUGAAAGACGGUUUUGCUGUCACUUAUAGAUGGAUCCGCGCCGCAUUAGCUAGUUGGUAAGGUAACGGCUUACCAAGGCAACGAUGCGUAGCCGACCUGAGAGGGUGAUCGGCCACACUGGAACUGAGACACGGUCCAGACUCCUACGGGAGGCAGCAGUAGGGAAUCUUCCGCAAUGGGCGAAAGCCUGACGGAGCAACGCCGCGUGAGUGAUGAAGGUCUUCGGAUCGUAAAACUCUGUUAUUAGGGAAGAACAAAUGUGUAAGUAACUAUGCACGUCUUGUCGGUACCUAAUCAGAAAGCCACGGCUAACUACGUG
rnacentral:rRNA from 1 species